GGUUAAGUGACUAAGCGUACACGGUGGAUCCUAGGCAGUCAGAGGCGAUGAAGGGCGUGCUAAUCUGCGAUAAGCGUCGGUAAGGUGAUAUGAACCGUAAUAACCGGCGAUACCCGAAUGGGAAACCCAGUGCAAUUCGUUGCCACUAUCGUUAAGUUGAAUACAUAGCUUAAACGAGGCGAACCGGGGGA
rnacentral:ncRNA from 1 species